rnacentral:rRNA from 1 species
AACGAACGCUGGCGGCAUGCCUUACACAUGCAAGUCGAACGGCAGCGCGGACUUCGGUCUGGCGGCGAGUGGCGAACGGGUGAGUAAUGUAUCGGAACGUACCUUUCAGUGGGGGAUAACGUAGCGAAAGUUACGCUAAUACCGCAUAUUCUGUGAGCAGGAAAGCAGGGGAUCGCAAGACCUUGCGCUGAUUGAGCGGCCGAUAUCAGAUUAGCUAGUUGGUGAGGUAAAGGCUCACCAAGGCGACGAUCUGUAGCGGGUCUGAGAGGAUGAUCCGCCACACUGGAACUGAGACACGGUCCAGACUCCUACGGGAGGCAGCAGUGGGGAAUUUUGGACAAUGGGGGCAACCCUGAUCCAGCCAUGCCGCGUGAGUGAAGAAGGCCUUCGGGUUGUAAAGCUCUUUCGGCCGGGAAGAAAUCGUACGGGUUAAUACCCUGUGCGGAUGACGGUACCGGCAUAAGAAGCACCGGCUAACUACGUGCCAGCAGCCGCGGUAAAAC